GAGGUGUGAAAUCCCUGGGCUCAACCUAGGAACUGCAUUUCAAACUGGAUAACUUGAGUAUGUCAGAGGGUAUUGGAAUUUCCCCGUGUAGCAGUGAAAAUGCGUAGAUAUGGGAAGGAACAUCAGUGGCGAAGGCGAAUACCUGGGAUAAUACUGACGCUGAGGUGCGAAAGCGUGGGGAGCAAACGGGAUUAGAUACCCCUGGUAG
rnacentral:rRNA from 1 species